GGCCCAGACUCCUACGGGAGGCAGCAGUGGGGGAUAUUGCACAAUGGGGGGAACCCUGAUGCAGCGACGCCGCGUGGGUGAAGGAGUGCUUCGGCAUGUAAAGCCCUAUCGGCAGGGAAGGAGCAAGACGGUACCUGACUAAGAAGCCCCGGCUAACUACGUGCCAGCAGCCGCGGUAAUACGUAGGGGGCGAGCGUUAUCCGGAUUCACUGGGUGUAAAGGGAGCGUAGACGGCCAUGCAAGCCAGGGGUGAAAGCCCGGGGCCCAACCCCGGGACUGCCCUUGGACCUGCAUGGCUGGAGUGCGGGAGGGGCAGGCGGAAUUCCUGGUGUAGCGGUGAAAUGCGUAGAUAUCAGGAGGAACACCGGCGGCGAAGGCGGCCUGCUGGACCGUGACUGACGUUGAGGCUCGAGAGCGUGGGGAGCAAACAGGAUUAGAUACCCCUGUAUG
rnacentral:rRNA from 1 species